GACGAACGCUGGCGGAAUGGAUUAGGCAUGCAAGUCGUACGAGAUUUAUACUUUCGGGUAUAUUGAGAGUGGCAAACGGGUGAGUAACGCGUGGGUAUCUGCCUUUAAGCGGGGGAUAACUCAGGGAAACUUGAGCUAAUACCGCAUGUGGCAUUAAUGUUAAAGGUGGCCUCUAUUUAUAAGCUACCGCUUAGAGAUGAGCCUGCGUACUAUUAGCUUGUUGGUGGGGUAAUGGCCUACCAAGGCAAUGAUAGUUAGGCGGCCUUAACGGGUGGUCGCCCACACUGGGAUUGAGAUACGGGCCCAGACUCCUACGGGAGGCAGCAGUCGAGAAUAGUCUACAAUGGACGAAAGUCUGAUAGUGCAAUUCCGCGUGGAUGAAGAAGCAUUUCGGUGUGUAAAAUCCUUUUCUUUUGUGAGCAAAGAUUUUGAAGGUUGAAUUAAUUUUUAAAUUAAGAUAUUAGCAAAGGAUAAGCCUCGGUAACUCCGUGCCAGCCAGCCGCGGUAAA
rnacentral:rRNA from 1 species